CAGCCUCUGGCUCCAAAUUUGCAAGAUGGCAGCCUCCACAAGCGGGAUAUUUUGGCUUCAUUUUUGCACAAUGGGAGGAGGCGGAGUCGCGUCGUCCAUGUUUUCUACUGUCAAUGGUGUGAACGAAGUCUGGCUCCUUUAAUCCUGCAUGACAAACCUCAGGAUGCAGUUCUCCACAGUCGCUGUCUACAUGGGUCAGUGGGACCAAGAAGCACUCUGCUAAUGUGGGACUCUGACCAGCAACAUCCAGCAAGACCCAGGUUAAUACACGCUACUGAUCCCUGAUGGGAGAAUCAUCACCUCUGCCAACAAAGAAGCCUGGUGGAUGUUUGUUUACAGUCUGAUGAUGGGACACCAUGCUCUGCAUCUUCAAAUCUUUUUGCAGGCUCAGAAAACAAAACCAGGAGACCUGUAAAUGUUUCUUCUCCAAUUGGAUGAUGAUAAGACUGUGACAUGGGAUGCCACCUUUAGUCUUGUGAUGAAGCAAAGCUCAGGAAGAAGUGUGAUUAAAUGGUACCCACAUGUGUGCUGCUGAGAAGGAUGUACAGGGGCACCUGCAGCCAAAUCCAAGCCUCAGCAACUUCAAGUCUGUCAGCGUGCUGAGGUCACAGAAACAAGAAAAGCAGCUUCAGACUUCAGAGUGUUGUUUACAGUUUUCUGUCAUCAUGAGCUCCCCUGAAGUUUAUCACUAUUAGG
ensembl:lncRNA